rnacentral:rRNA from 1 species
GAUGAACGCUGGCGGCGUGCCUAAUACAUGCAAGUCGAGCGAACGGACGAGAAGCUUGCUUCUCUGAUGUUAGCGGCGGACGGGUGAGUAACACGUGGAUAACCUACCUAUAAGACUGGGAUAACUUCGGGAAACCGGAGCUAAUACCGGACAAUAUUUUGAACCGCAUGGUUCAAAAGUGAAAGACGUUCUUGCUGUCACUUAUAGAUGGAUCCGCGCUGCAUUAGCUAGUUGGUAAGGUAACGGCUUACCAAGGCAACGAUGCAUAGCCGACCUGAGAGGGUGAUCGGCCACACUGGAACUGAGACACGGUCCAGACUCCUACGGGAGGCAGCAGUAGGGAAUCUUCCGCAAUGGGCGAAAGCCUGACGGAGCAACGCCGCGUGAGUGAUGAAGGUCUUCGGAUCGUAAAACUCUGUUAUUAGGGAAGAACAUAUGUGUAAGUAACUGUGCACAUCUUGACGGUACCUAAUCAGAAAGCCACGGCUAACUACGUG